rnacentral:tRNA from 1 species
AUUUAAAUAGUUUAAUUAAAAUAUUAAUUUGUGGAAUUAGAGAUUAUGUAAUAUAUUUAAAUA